GAGGUGGUGGUUUAAUAGUUAGACCAAUUGACUUGUAAUUAAUUGUUCAUCACAGGUUUGAACCUCAUCCAACUUA
rnacentral:tRNA from 1 species